rnacentral:rRNA from 1 species
UAGUGGCGAACGGGUGAGUAACACGUGGGCAAUCUGCCCUUCACUCUGGGACAAGCCCUGGAAACGGGGUCUAAUACCGGAUAACACUCCUGCCCGCAUGGGUGGGGGUUAAAAGCUCCGGCGGUGAAGGAUGAGCCCGCGGCCUAUCAGCUUGUUGGUGAGGUAGUGGCUCACCAAGGCGACGACGGGUAGCCGGCCUGAGAGGGCGACCGGCCACACUGGGACUGAGACACGGCCCAGACUCCUACGGGAGGCAGCAGUGGGGAAUAUUGCACAAUGGGCGAAAGCCUGAUGCAGCGACGCCGCGUGAGGGAUGACGGCCUUCGGGUUGUAAACCUCUUUCAGCAGGGAAGAAGCGAAAGUGACGGUACCUGCAGAAGAAGCGCCGGCUAACUACGUGCCAGCAGCCGCGGUAAUACGUAGGGCGCAAGCGUUGUCCGGAAUUAUUGGGCGUAAAGAGCUCGUAGGCGGCUUGUCACGUCGGGUGUGAAAGCCCGGGGCUUAACCCCGGGUCUGCAUUCGAUACGGGCUAGCUAGAGUGUGGUAGGGGAGAUCGGAAUUCCU